UACGUAGGGCGCAAGCGUUGUCCGGAAUUAUUGGGCGUAAAGAGCUCGUAGGCGGCCAGUUGCGUCUGCUGCGAAAUCCCGGGGCUCAACCCCGGGCGUGCAGUGGAUACGGGCUGGCUAGAGGCAGGCAGGGGAGAGCGGAAUUCCCGGUGUAGCGGUGAAAUGCGCAGAUAUCGGGAGGAACACCGGUGGCGAAGGCGGUUCUCUGGGCCUGUACUGACGCUGAGGAGCGAAAGCGUGGGGAGCGAACAGG
rnacentral:rRNA from 1 species